UACGUAGGGUGCGAGCGUUAAUCGGGAAUUACUGGGCGUAAAGCGUGCGCAGGCGGUUUUGUAAGACAGGCGUGAAAUCCCCGGGCUCAACCUGGGAAUGGCGCUUGUGACUGCAAAGCUGGAGUGCGGCAGAGGGGGAUGGAAUUCCGCGUGUAGCAAGUGAAAUGCGUAGAUAUGCGGAGGAACACCGAUGGCGAAGGCAAUCCCCUGGGCCUGCACUGACGCUCCAUGCACGAAAGCGUGGGGAGCAAACAGG
rnacentral:rRNA from 1 species